UACGAACCGUCCAAACGUUAUUCGGAAUCACUGGGCUUAAAGGGUGCGUAGGCGGCUCGGUAAGUUGGGUGUGAAAGCCCUCGGCUCAACCGAGGAAUUGCGCCCAAAACUGCCGGGCUAGAGGGAGACAGAGGUGAGCGGAACUUAGGGUGGAGCGGUGAAGUGCUUUGAUAUCCUAAGGAACACCGGUAGCGAAAGGGGCUCACGGGGUCUUUGUUGACGAUGAGGCACGAAAGCUAGGGGAGCGAACGGG
rnacentral:rRNA from 1 species